rnacentral:lncRNA from 1 species
AUCUUAUCUCUGUCUUCAAGCAUUCCUCAGCUUUCUCUUUCCAGAACAGGAUUAUGAACCGACACCAUACAGAGGUAUUUGUAAGAAAGAAGGUGGAUGCCGGAAUCCUUUCUUCAAACAGAAGCUUACCAGUAAGAGAUUGGAACUACAGCAAAGGUAUGAACAGGUGUCACGGGGACACAGAAGAAAGAGCAGUUACUCUUCCGGAAGGUUGGAGAAGAUUUUGUGAAGGUGGGGAUGUUUGAUUUGAACCUUGAAGAACAAGCAGAGACCCAAGAAGUACAGAAGAGGGGAGGUGGAAAUAGCAUGAACGAGGUGGGGCAUGCAAAUUCACUUUCAAUUGAUACAAUCUUUCACGUCAGAGCUGCUUCUUGUAACACAGAAGUUUUCAGAUUCUAUGAAAAGGUAUUGAAUGAAUUGAAGGCUCUGUUAAGGGGGCAACUAUCUCCCCUCCCCAUUCUCCUAUCAGCCCAUAAAACAGGAACUGACAACCUCUUGGAAGAAUUGGGAAGGAACUUUUCGAUUUUCUCUGUACAAUCUUCACUGGUUCCUCUCUGUGAGAGGAGGAGGGACCUCUUGGAUUGGUGUCGUUGGGAAAAGGGUAUCAAGUGUGCAUGGCUCAGCCUGUUCCUGGCUCUCUCUCUGGGACUGACCUGACUGCAAGCAGCAUGUUCUCUGUCUGCUCCUGCCUCCUCCAGGCAAUGAGCACCAGGGCGGGUCCAGCCCUUGCUUGGGAGGACUUCAAUAGUCCAGCUGCUCUGCCGCGAGUGGGUGAGUGAGUUCAAGUCAGAGGAGAAGACACAGAAAGCUCAUUUGGGCCUUGGGUCUUAGCCACAUCCUCCAGUCCAUCUGGACUAGCAAUAAAGCUGACAUUUUAAUCCCUACUUGUCUCCUGUGACUAUUUCUCAAUUGGAUCAGACCUCGG